AUCCAUUUUCCAGUUCAUAAAGCAUGAUGAUUGGGCUCCCACGCACUUGCGUGACAUGUGACUCCUUCAAACCUUGUUAGGAUGCGGGCACAUUACCCAUAUAACA